rnacentral:rRNA from 1 species
UACGGAGGGUGCGAGCGUUGUCCGGAAUCACUGGGCGUAAAGGGCGCGUAGGCGGCGCGGGUAGUCGUCGGUGAAAGCUCAGGGCUCAACCCUGAGUCGGCCGGUGAUACUCCCGUGCUCGAGCACUGUAGAGGCAGGUGGAAUUCCGGGUGUAGCGGUGGAAUGCGUAGAGAUCCGGAAGAACACCGGUGGCGAAGGCGGUCUGCUGGGCAGUAGCUGACACUGAGGCGCGACAGCGUGGGGAGCAAACAGG